rnacentral:rRNA from 1 species
GAUGAACGCUGGCGGCGUGCCUAAUACAUGCAAGUCGAGCGAACAGAUACUGCUCUUGCUCCUUUCACGUUAGCGGCGCACGGGUGUAUAACAUGUGGAUAACCUCCCUAUAAGACUGGGAUAACUUCGGGAAACCGGAGCUAAUCCCGGAUAACAUAUUGCACCGCAUGGGUCGUUAGUAAAAUGCGGCUUUGCUGUCUCUUAUAGCUGGAUCCGCGCGGUAUUAGGUAGUUGGUAGGGUAACGGCUUUCCAAGGCAAGGAUACGUAGCCGACGUGACGGGGGGAUCGCCGACAUUGGAAGUGAGACGCGGUCCAGAGUCCUGCGGGAGGCAGCAGUAGGGAAUCUGCCGCAAUGGGCGAAAGCAUGACGGAGCAACGCGACGUGAGUGAUGAAGGUCCUCGGAUCGUAAAACCGGGUUAUCAGGGAAGAACAAAUGUGGAAGUAGCCGAGCACAGAGUGACGGUAACGGAUCAGAAAGCCACGGCUAACUACGUG